rnacentral:lncRNA from 1 species
UAAUAUUUGUGAAGGGUGUUUUGGCGAUAGGUGAGUGGAAAUUUGGGGUUAUGGAAGGUUUUGUGUGGUGAGGUUAUUGAGGUUUAAUGGAGGUUGUAAGAGUGUGACAGAGGAAGAUGAAAAAAUGAUGAGAGAGAGUGAUGAUGUGUGGAGUGAAAAUCAGAUAAUGAUGGGGUAAUUGGGGAAAAGGUGUGGUUAAGAGUGGAUUAAGUGGGUGGGCU